GAUGAACGCUGGCGGCGUGCCUAAUACAUGCAAGUCGAGCGAACGGACGAGAAGCUUGCUUCUCUGAUGUUAGCGGCGGACGGGUGAGUAACACGUGGAUAACCUACCUAUAAGACUGGGAUAACUUCGGGAAACCGGAGCUAAUACCGGAUAAUAUUUUGAACCGCAUGGUUCAAAAGUGAAAGACGGUCUUGCUGUCACUUAUAGAUGGAUCCGCGCUGCAUUAGCUAGUUGGUAAGGUAACGGCUUACCAAGGCAACGAUGCAUAGCCGACCUGAGAGGGUGAUCGGCCACACUGGAACUGAGACACGGUCCAGACUCCUACGGGAGGCAGCAGUAGGGAAUCUUCCGCAAUGGGCGAAAGCCUGACGGAGCAACGCCGCGUGAGUGAUGAAGGUCUUCGGAUCGUAAAACUCUGUUAUUAGGGAAGAACAUAUGUGUAAGUAACUGUGCACAUCUUGACGGUACCUAAUCAGAAAGCCACGGCUAACUACGUGCCAGCAGCCGCGGUAAUACGUAGGUGGGCAGCGUUAUCCGGAAUUUUAUGGCGUAAAGCGCGCGUAGGCGGUUUUUUAGUCUGAUGUGAAAGCCCACGGCUCAACCGUGGAGGGCCAUUGGAAACUGGAAAACUUGAGUGCAGAAGAGGAAAGUGGAAUUCCAUGUGUAGCGGUGAAAUGCGCAGAGAUAUGGAGGAACACCAGUGGCGAAGGCGACUUUCUGGUCUGUAACUGACGCUGAUGUGCGAAAGCGUGGGGAUCAAACAGGAUUAGAUACCCUGGUAGUCCACGCCGUAAACGAUGAGUGCUAAGUGUUAGGGGGUUUCCGCCCCUUAGUGCUGCAGCUAACGCAUUAAGCACUCCGCCUGGGGAGUACGACCGCAAGGUUGAAACUCAAAGGAAUUGACGGGGACCCGCACAAGCGGUGGAGCAUGUGGUUUAAUUCGAAGCAACGCGAAGAACCUUACCAAAUCUUGACAUCCUUUGACAACUCUAGAGAUAGAGCCUUCCCCUUCGGGGGACAAAGUGACAGGUGGUGCAUGGUUGUCGUCAGCUCGUGUCGUGAGAUGUUGGGUUAAGUCCCGCAACGAGCGCAACCCUUAAGCUUAGUUGCCAUCAUUAAGUUGGGCACUCUAAGUUGACUGCCGGUGACAAACCGGAGGAAGGUGGGGAUGACGUCAAAUCAUCAUGCCCCUUAUGAUUUGGGCUACACACGUGCUACAAUGGACAAUACAAAGGGCAGCGAAACCGCGAGGUCAAGCAAAUCCCAUAAAGUUGUUCUCAGUUCGGAUUGUAGUCUGCAACUCGACUACAUGAAGCUGGAAUCGCUAGUAAUCGUAGAUCAGCAUGCUACGGUGAAUACGUUCCCGGGUCU
rnacentral:rRNA from 1 species